rnacentral:rRNA from 1 species
UCAGUCGACUCCUACGGGGAGGCAGCAGUGGGGAAUAUUGCACAAUGGGGGAAACCCUGAUGCAGCCAUGCCGCGUGUGUGAAGAAGGCCUUCGGGUUGUAAAGCACUUUCAGUAGGGAGGAAGGUAGUGUAGUUAACACCUGCAUUAUUUGACGUUACCUACAGAAGAAGCACCGGCUAACUCCGUGCCAGCAGCCGCGGUAAUACGGAGGGUGCGAGCGUUAAUCGGAAUUACUGGGCGUAAAGCGCAUGCAGGCGGCCUGUUAAGUCAGAUGUGAAAGGCCCGGGGACGUUAACCUACGGUAAAUUGCAUUUAGUAAACUAGGCGAGGCUAGAGUCUUGUAGAGGGGGUAGGAAUUUCAGGUGUAGCGGUGAAAUGCGUAGAGAUCUGAAGGAAUACCAGUGGCGAAGGCGGCCCCCUGGACAAAGACUGACGCUCAGAUGCGAAAGCGUGGGGAGCAAACAGGAUUAGAUACCCUGGUAG